CCUACGGGAUGCACCAGUGGGGAAUAUUGCACAAUGGGCGCAAGCCUGAUGCAGCGACGCCGCGUGGGGGAUGACGGCCUUCGGGUUGUAAACUCCUUUCGCUAGGGACGAAGCUUUUUGUGACGGUACCUAGAUAAGAAGCACCGGCUAACUACGUGCCAGCAGCCGCGGUAAUACGUAGGGUGCGAGCGUUGUCCGGAAUUACUGGGCGUAAAGGGCUCGUAGGUGGUUUGUCGCGUCGUCUGUGAAAUUCCGGGGCUUAACUCCGGGCGUGCAGGCGAUACGGGCAUAACUUGAGUACUGUAGGGGUAACUGGAAUUCCUGGUGUAGCGGUGAAAUGCGCAGAUAUCGGGAGGAACACCGAUGGCGAAGGCAGGUUACUGGGCAGUUACUGACGCUGAGGAGCGAAAGCAUGGGUAGCGAACAGGAUUAGAUACCCUAGUAGUC
rnacentral:rRNA from 1 species